rnacentral:lncRNA from 1 species
GCUACUACUACGUAUGGUUGCUUUCCUGGCUUGGCUGUUUCUUGGAACAUUGAUUCAUUGACUCAUGAGCAGAAGAUCUACACUAUGUCAGAGACCGACCGCCGAGUAGCUAUCCCAAUUGCACCAGUUAAGCUGAAGGAUUGAGCCACUUCAAAUGAACUUGAGAAUCCAUGAUGUAUGUGGCUGGAGCUAUGGAGCAUUACAGUCGUGCUAUUGGAAUUAGUCGUGCAAAUGCACAUAGUUGGGAUUAUCUCUGUCUCGCGCCUUGAACCAUUGCAAAAAAUGGGAGUUUCAGUUGUCACAAGGCCUACUCCAGCCCAGCCACUUGUGUUAGCCGCUGCCACCAAGGCUGAGAGUAAACCUCAGUUAUGGUUAUUGAUAGGUUUAAGUUCAGCCCUUAGCCGUACUCGCCCAGGACGUGAAUCGUGAUCAGGGACUUCACGAGCCUUGAGGGUUUUAGAGCACGGAACCGGCGGACCGGGUGCCUAGUUGUAAAUCCGCCUCAUGGUCCGUUGUACGCUCGGACUCCUAGUCGAGACUAAUCGACGAGAGAGGCUCGCUCAGGAUUUAAAGGCUACCAAUCAUGGUAAUUACUCGGCAUGGACUAUUAAUUUCAACACGAAGUAUCCGUACAGAGAAAAGGAAUUCAUAGGUGACAGCUGAAACUAUUGUCUCGUCCCGAUCAUUCGGGACCUUGGCUAUCUGAUAACUUGGCAAAUUGCCCUGAAAUUACGGCCAACGACUACAGAUCUGGUACACAGAGUAUUGUAGUACGUACCUCGUUAGUCCCCACUCUGUCGUCCUGUUCACUUUGAUUGCAAAACAAGUAAUUUCAUGGAAGAUCAUGACUGACUACCUACGGGUAAGCCUCAUUCAUUUAAAUAUAAUUGGCCACGCCUCCCAGUCUUGUCCAAUACAUACAAUCUUUGAAAAACACCUGCCUAUUUUUCUUUAUUAUAGUGGAGCUUCCCGAGAAUAAUACGUAUUGUAGCCAAUUAUAUGGCAUGGAUAAUGAGUUGUCAAAAAUACCCAUGGAAUUACCUGUUCUGCGAUCAAAGUGAACAGACCGAAGGAGUGG